AUUUGAAUAAAUUUUGUUCCUGGUUAGGAAUGGAAUUCUACAAAAAAGUAACUAUGCUGACCAGGCUGGUAUUAAUUCUUUUUAUUUUUAACAUAAUUGUCAUGAAGAAAAACAUUAAGACUGAUUUCGGUAUGGGAAGGAACAAAAAUCUUUCCUGGGCAUGAAUACUUCCCGAACUAUGAAAUUAUAAUCCUGAGAUUCUUCUUCAUUGUGUAAGGAUUAUAGAGUGGCUUGAUUAAGGGUAUUGCAAAAAAGAAUGGUAAUGCAAGAAGAAAAAAGUAAUAAUCAUUUAUACUUAAUUAACAAAAACAAAUGUUGUGUGUUUUUCAUUAGCCACAGGGAUUCAUUAAGUAUAGUAGCGCUGGAUUUAAAGAUGCUCGUAGUACAAGACAUGAAGAUGCUUUGACUAAUUUAGUUGAGGACCUUAACUGCUCUGAGGCAAGAAGGAGUCACAAGGCUUUCCAAGUCUUUUGAGAAGAAAACCUGCUAUAAAUGAAACAGGAUGGCUAAUUCUGUAUCUUCAUAAUUCAUGUGAAAUCCGGAUUUUGUUAAACAAAAGUAUUACGACCUGUGGUUCAGUUCAACCCGUGAAGAUCGGCCAGUGCGUCUUCAUAACGUUCAAAGCAGCCUGGCCAACCUGGCAGUUCUCUUGAAGUUGUAAAACCUCCAUUCCAACAAUCCCGCUGAGUUUUUCUAUCAGAAGACACAGGUUUUCCUUCUUAGGAUGCUUCUCUGCCACCCGGAGGAUACAAGAGAUAAUAUGGAGAAUGAUGAAAACAGUUUUUAUGUCUUGGGAGGUGAGUUGAUUCACUUAGUGGCUCAAAGACUUUGGAGUGAACACACUGGAUCCACUGGCCCACAGGCCCUCCAGUUGUGCAGUUAGCCAUCAGCCAGAUAGCCUCUUUCUGGACAUUAAACUCUCCAUUUUUUAACAGAGCCACCAAGGGAGGCAGCGUACCACAAGGAAUCCACAGCUGGAUGUCUGGAUGCCUCCUCUGGAUGGAGAACUUGCGGUGCAUCAGGAGCUGGGGCAGCAUGCUCAGCCGCCUGUGUCAACGGCCACUUAGUUCUGGUGAUCCGUUACAAUGACGAAGUUUCCACAGUGUGGAGAGAGGGGGUCAAGACAUUGAGCCUCAAACUGGUCAUGAGCUCUAGCAGCCAGACAGGACCCCCUUGUCAACCGUUUGGCAGAUGCACUCAUUGCAGCCAUCAUGAGGUAGGACAUGGCCCAGCAGGUGUCCCAGGGAACCUCAUUGCCACGACGCUGUGGGAGGUGGAAGAGGAGUAACAACAUUUACUUGACCACUUUUUCACAAGAGUACCGGUUGUUGUUUUGCUCCAGUGUGGACAAGGUCCACAUGAUGUUCUACAGAAAUGGGAUGGGUAUGGUUGAUGAAAAACCAGGGCCAGCAGAUGUGGGACAGCAUUGCUCAAGAGGACGAUGUCUCUGAAUUCUCAGCUGUCACCUGCUCUGUUACCAAGAACCCACAUUACCUGUUCACAAACAGUCACACCAGGGGAAGACAGAAGCUCACUCAAGGGCUGGAUGGCACUCCGUCCACAACAGCUGGUGUCUGCUCCAAAGUCAAUGAAGCUGUGCUGGUCAGAGCCCAGGCUGCCUCAACCGCAAGCAGUGGUGAAGCCAUGACUUCAGGAGCUCCAGCAGCAUGAGAACGAGCCUUGCUUCAACAAUCUAUUUUAGAGGAGGGCUUCUUUCUUGAGACAGCAUUUUCCUGGCUGCCUGAGUGGCCUGGACACAUAGCUCUGGGUCCGAGGAGUCACACCAUUGAUUAUUUCAUGCAGGGGGAAGCUGACCAAUUUGGUGAGCUUUCCUGAAACUGAGUCAGAUGCUUCUUUGCCUCAGUACUGAAAUUUCCUCAGCCUCUCGACUAGAACUUCUAAAGUUGGCACAUUGACUGGAAGAAGCAUAAGAAACCACCUGGCGGAGCUGCCCUGAUUGAUGAGGUAGAAAGAAAGCAAUAUUCGAAGUCCAAAACCCAAGGUCCAAUUUGUGACUGAUUAGAAUAUAUGACCUGAUUUCAC
rnacentral:lncRNA from 1 species